rnacentral:rRNA from 1 species
AACACAUGCAAGUCGAGCGGGGAAGUAUAGCUUGCUAUACGACCUAGCGGCGGACGGGUGAGUAAUGCUUAGGAAUCUGCCUAUUAGUGGGGGACAACAUUCCGAAAGGAAUGCUAAUACCGCAUACGCCCUACGGGGGAAAGCAGGGGAUCUUCGGACCUUGCGCUAAUAGAUGAGCCUAAGUCAGAUUAGCUAGUUGGUGGGGUAAAGGCCUACCAAGGCGACGAUCUGUAGCGGGUCUGAGAGGAUGAUCCGCCACACUGGGACUGAGACACGGCCCAGACUCCUACGGGAGGCAGCAGUGGGGAAUAUUGGACAAUGGGCGCAAGCCUGAUCCAGCCAUGCCGCGUGUGUGAAGAAGGCCUUUUGGUUGUAAAGCACUUUAAGCGAGGAGGAGGCUACUUGGAUUAAUACUCUAGGAUAGUGGACGUUACUCGCAGAAUAAGCACCGGCUAACUCUGUGCCAGCAGCCGCGGUAAUACAGAGGGUGCGAGCGUUAAUCGGAUUUACUGGGCGUAAAGCGUGCGUAGGCGGCUUUUUAAGUCGGAUGUGAAAUCCCUGAGCUUAACUUGGGAAUUGCAUUCGAUACUGGGAAGCUAGAGUAUGGGAGAGGAUGGUAGAAUUCCAGGUGUAGCCGGUGAAAUGCGUAAAAUCUGGAGGAAUACCGAUGGCGAAGGCAGCCAUCUGGCCUAAUACUGACGCUUGAGGUUACGAAACCAUUGGGGAGCAAACAGGAUUANAUACCCCUGGUAGUCCAUGCCCGUAAACNAUNU